UUUCCGUAGGUGAACCUGCGGAAGGAUCAUUAAUGAGUUGUCAUGGGGUUCGAUGCUGGCAGCCAGUUUUUGGAUGCAUGUGCCUGCCCUAACAAUCAUCUUCUUCCAAACACCUGUGCACAUUUUUGAGGGAGUCUUGAGUUGGUUGCCGCUCUUGGGUGAUUUUCUCACAUUCCCUUAAAUCAUUAUACGCUAUUAACAAUGUUGAACGUGCUCUGUGCCGCAAGGCCAUUAAUAUAAUACAACUUUUAACAACGGAUCUCUUGGCUCUC
rnacentral:misc_RNA from 1 species